AUGAUUUCUAAUGACUUAACCUCUACUCCUAGUGUGUUUUCUUCUUUGGUGCCAGGACCCAUAUAUGAUGACGCGCCGAUUCGUGAUGACUACGUCCUCCCUUUGGACACGACGAUGGCCAUGGUGGAACAUGAUGCACCCCGCACAUGGUUCCAUCAAGAUGAAGAUGACCACCAUUUGGUCUUUCCCACCUCACCUACACCACUUGAGUGGAGUGACAAAGGUAACAAAGGUGACGGUGAUGCUCUAGUCCCACUAGUGGACAUUCUUGAGAUUGAUUGCUUGCAUGAUGUUGACCCACCUAUUACCAUGCUUCAUGCUAGUGAAACUUCUUCAUGCCUUGACUUACCUAUUUACGAUGAAUAUGAUGAUGAGCAUGUUGAGUUGCCUAGUUGUGAUGCUAUGCUCCAUAGGAUAUCAUGUGAAAAUUCUCUUGGUCACAUCAUGUUUGAUAAUCCGCUUGACUUGUCAUAUGCUAUGCAUAAGAUCAACCAUAUGUCCUAUUUGCAAUCUCUUCAUAGUGAUUAUGCAUAUGCCAUUAAAAUAAACCCAAUUUGCACAUAUGGCAUAGAUGACAAGUCCAUGGUUAUUGGCAUUUGUUUCUCUUAG
rnacentral:rRNA from 1 species